rnacentral:rRNA from 1 species
AUUGAACGCUGGCGGCAUGCCUAACACAUGCAAGUCGAGCGAGCGGCGGACGGGUGAGUAAUGUCUGGGAAACUGCCUGAUGGAGGGGGAUAACUCCUGGAAACGGUAGCUAAUACCGCAUACCAUCAGAUGUGCCCAGAUGGGCUUAGCUAGGAGGUGGGGUAACGGCUCACCUAGGCGACGAUCCCUAGCUGGUCUGAGAGGAUGACCAGCCACACGGGAAUGGAGACACGGUCCAGACUCCUACGGGAGGCAGCAGUGGGGAAUAUUGCACAAUGGGCGCAAGCCUGAGACAGCCAUGCCGCGUGUGGGAAGAAGGCCUUCGGGUUGUAAAGCACUGUCAGCGGGGAGGCGUUACCCGCAGAAGAAGCACCGGCUAACUCCGUGCCAGCAGCCGCGGUAAUUC